rnacentral:sRNA from 1 species
UUGUAAAUCCUCUUUGAAGGCACUGCGA